rnacentral:rRNA from 1 species
GAUGAACGCUAGCUAUAGGCUUAACACAUGCAAGUCGACUCGAGUCUUCGGACUUGGGUGGCGCACGGGUGAGUAACGCGUAAAGAACUUGCCUCUUAGACCGGGACAACAUUUGGAAACGGAUGCUAAUACCGGAUACUAUGGUUUCUUCGCAUGGGGGAAUCAUGAAAGCUACAUGCGCUAAGAGAGAGCUUUGCGUCCCAUUAGCUCGUUGGUGAGGUAACGGCCCACCAAGGCAAUGAUGGGUAGCCGGCCUGAGAGGGUGAACGGCCACAAGGGGACUGAGACACGGCCCUU